CUUCUCCCAUGUCUCCAAUGGAGUCCAAAUCUCAAGGAAAUUCGAAUCGCUGACUCUCCUCACAUCUUCUUCACCACUCUCUACGCGACGCCUUCUGCCUCAAUCGGAACGGCUAAUCUCGUUUGUAGAUUCGUCAGAUUUUACAUCUGCGGACGGACGGAGGAUGUUCGGAAAGUACAUUACCGGCGGUGGUAAUGGCGGAGGAUCGGACAGUGAAGAGAACCGUGAUCUGUCACCUGGUUGCAUCGUUCUCAAUUUUCGAGGUAAAAUCUCGUGAGUUUGAUAGAGGGCGUUCAAUGGCUUUUUUCAACAUACACGAAAACCGCAGGGGAUGUGACUUUCUCUUUCAGCCUCCUCAUGUUUCAUCAGUUUCAGUCCCAUCCGAAAACAGAGACGGCAGCUAUUCAGAAGAGAACGAGUCUUUGUCUGAACAGCAACAGUCAGUGUCUGACUGUCUGGUUCUUGUUUCUCUUAGAGGAGAUGCACUCAAGAUUUUGUUCUUUGGAUGAACCAUGGAAAAGAGGGUUACUAUCAUUCAUUUCGACACAGGAAACAAGGUUUCAGAAGUGAAAGGAAACGAAAAAAGUUUCCUCCUUGAUCGAUCGAUAUGCCAAAACUCAGUAUUCAUAAUGGCGAUACCAAAAAAAAAGAAAAAAGGGGGGGGGAUCUGUCAGACCAUGUAUGUCAUACCGACCUGCAUGAGAUGCGAGUGAGGCACGUUCAGCUCCCUCUCCAGGCUCUGCUCCGAUUCUGACGCCGUGGAAUCCGAGGAGGAUGUGUUGUUCGGUUCGAAGAUGGGUUUGUUCAUGUCUCUGU